GGUUAAGUUAUUAAGGGCGCACGGUGGAUGCCUUGGCACUAGGAGCCGAUGAAGGACGGGACUAACACCGAUAUGCUUCGGGGAGCUGUAAGUAAGCUUUGAUCCGAAGAUUUCCGAAUGGGGAAACCCACUGCUCGUAAUGGAGUAGUAUCUCUACCUGAAUUCAUAGGGUAGCAGAAGGUAGACCCGGGGAACUGAAACAUCUAAGUACCCGGAGGAAGAGAAAGCAAACGCGAUUUCC
rnacentral:rRNA from 1 species